rnacentral:rRNA from 1 species
UACGGGGGGGGCAAGCGUUGUUCGGAAUUACUGGGCGUAAAGGGCUCGUAGGCGGCCAACUAAGUCAGACGUGAAAUCCCUCGGCUUAACCGGGGAACUGCAUCUGAUACUGGAUGGCUUGAGUUCGGGAGAGGGAUGCGGAAUUCCAGGUGUAGCGGUGAAAUGCGUAGAUAUCGGGAGGAACACCGGUGGCGAAGGCGGCGACCUGGGACAAUACUGACGCUGAGGUGCGAAAGCGUGGGGAGCAAACAGG